AUGCCAUGGCGGACGCCGACAGCAGCAUCAACCUGCUGCUCGCCGGCUUCUUCUUGCCCAUCCCACGGCGCCGUCGCCCUCGCCCACCACCCCCACCCCGGCGACUCAGGUGCGUCCCUCCACUCCAUCUCCUCCUCCUCACAUCCCUCCCUCACUUCCUCACCUCGUGUUCUAUCCCUCCCAGAUCCAGGAUGCCAUGGGCGGGAUGGCCUCUUCCUCCCCUGCGUCGGCGUGUGGCAGUAUGACCGGGUCGAGAUCAUCGCCAACGACCAGGGCAACUGCACCACGCCCUCCUACAUCGCCUUCACCGACACCGAGCGCCUCAUCGGUGACGCCGCCAAGAACCAGGUCGCCAUGAACCCCACCAACACCGUCUUCGGUACGUGCCAUCCUCCCUUCCUCCCGACCCACUGUGUAUCAUGCGUCGUCUGUUAG
rnacentral:rRNA from 1 species